GAAGGCUCACACGGACCCAGAAGAUGAGAGAGGCCGGGCUGGGUGGAGCGAGAAGAGAUGCGGCCAGCCAGUACCUCCCCCACUCACCCCCCCCGGACGUCUGUCGAUAAGAACGAGUCUGUCCCCCUCGAUCAUCGGGCCCUUCAAACUCACACGAGGCCGAGCUGGGCUUCAGAACCCCGGCUGAUCCCACGUGGGCCCCUGCAGCACCACAGUGCUACUUCCUCAAGAUUUUGGUGAUGCCAACACCGGAACACGGUGGCACUGUUGCAGAAUAUUGGGGAAAGGCCCGUCUAGGUUGGACAGGAGACACGAAGAAGAAGAAGAAGAUCGACCCCUCUAGUGGUGCUUUACAAUGCAAGCCGACGGCGGUCAGCGAGGGCGGUGACGGAGUGGAUGGAGAGACAGGGGCUGGCAGUGGAGCUGGUGUUGCUGGCGUAGGUAAGGCAGAAUAAGGUGGAACGUGAUGGCGAGUGAGGGUGUCUGAUGGGUGCAACGUGGAUGAGAGGCGGUGGGGGUAUGGGGCACGAGCGUGAAGUGGUGAAAUGGGCACGGAUGAGGGUAGGUGGAGGGUGGUAGGGGCAGAGAGGUCUGGUGGCCGGAUGGUUGAGCUGAUUGAGGUGCACAGAGUAUGGCUGGGGGAUAGAUGUGGUUAGGUGCACAUAGAAAGCGAGGGCGUGUGAAUCAGUAGCGUGACCUAAACGGUACCAUUCUCACAUUAAGGCAAGUAAGACAUGUUGUUAAAUCAUCAUCACCAUCAGCAGAACAUUAUCGGCAUAUGAGCUCCAUAAUUGACGAAAAUUAGUUUGUGUGGUUCCAACCAUUGUCAACAGCGAUGUUUAACCACCAGUGACUAAAGCUGCAAACGUCCCCACGGUGGUAGCCCAGGCUGCCUGCCUCCGCUGCACAACACGUACACAUUUGGUGGGACUUGAACGGUGAUAUUUCACAGACAAGGUCUAAUGCAUUCUUACAGCAAAGUACAGUGAGGGAAAAAAGUAUUUGAUCCCAUGCUGAUU